CUACGGGAUGCUCCAGUAAGGAAUAUUGCGCAAUGGAGGAAACUCUGACGCAGCAACGCCGCGUGGGUGAUGACGCUCUAUGGAGUGUAAAGCCCUGUUAGAAGGGAAGAACAGAUUAUAGUAAAGCUAUAAUUUUGACGGUACCUUCAGAGAAAGCCCCGGCUAACUCCGUGCCAGCAGCCGCGGUAAUACGGGGGGGGCAAGCGUUGUCCGGAAUCACUGGGCGUAAAGGGCGUGUAGGCGGGAUGGUCAGUUAGAGGUGAAAACCUGCGGCUUAACCGUAGGCGUGCCUUUAAUACUGGCAUUCUUGAGUGCGAGAGGGGAAAGUGGAAUUCUUGGUGUAGCGGUGAAAUGCGUAGAUAUCAAGAAGAACACCGGUAGCGAAGGCUGCUUUCUGGCUCGUAACUGACGCUGAGGCGCGAAAGCGUGGGGAGCAAACAGGAUUAGAUACCCUCGUAGUC
rnacentral:rRNA from 1 species